GUGCUGCUGCACUAUGGAGCCCGUGUGGUCCCUUAGCCAAGAUGCCUGAGGAAACGCAGCCCCAAGACCAGCCGAUGGAGGAGGAGGAGGUUGAGACGUUCAUCUUUCAGGCAGAAAUUGCCCAGUUGAUGUCAUUGAUCAUCAAUACUUUCUAUUUGAACAAAGAGAUCUUUCUGGGAGAGCUCAUUUCAAAUUUAUCAGAUGCAUUGGAUAAAAUCUGGUAUGAAAGCUUGACGGAUCCCAGUAAAUUAGACUCUGGGAAAGAGCUGCAUAUUAGCCUUACACCAAACAAACAAGAUCGAACACUCACUAUUGUGGAUACUGGAAUUGGAAUGACCAGGCUGACUUGAUCAAUAACCUUAGAACUAUCACCAAGUCUGAGACCAAAGUGUUCACGGCAGCUUUGCAGGCUGGUGCAGAUAUCUCUAUGACUGGCCAGUUCAGUGUUGGUUUUUAUUCUGCUUAUUCGGUUGCUGAGAAAGUAACAGUGAUCACCAAACAUAACGAUGAUGAACAGUACGCCUGGGAGUCCUCAGCAAGGGGAUCAUUCACAGUGAGGACAGACACAGGUGAACCUAUGGGUCAUGGAACAAAGGUUAUCCUACAGCUAAAAGAAGACCAAACGGAGUACUUGGAGGAACGAAGAAUAAAGGAGAUUGUGAAGAAACAUUAUCAGUUUAUUGGAUAUCCCAUCACUCUUUUUGUGGAGAAGAAACAUGAUAAAGAAGUCAGCGAUGAUGAGGCUGAAGAAAAGGAAGACAAAGAAGAAGAAAAGGAAAAAGAAGAGAAAGAGUCUGAAGACAAACCUGAAAUUGAAGAUGUUGGUUCUGAUGAAGAAGAAGAAGAAAAGAAGGAUGGUGACAAGAAGAAGAAGAUUAAGGAAAAGUACAUCGAUCAAGAAGAACUCAACAAAACAAAGCCUAUCUGGACCAGAUAUCCUGAUGACAUUACUAAUUAGGAAUACAGAGAAUUCUACAAGAGCUUGACCAAUAACUGGGAAGAUUACUUGGCAAUGAAACAUUUUUCAGUUGAAGGACAGUUGGAAUUCAGAGCCUUUCUAUUUGUCCCACGACGUGCUCCUUUCGAGCUGUUGGAAACCAGAAAGAAAAAGAACAACAUCAAAUUGUCUGCAUGCAGAGAUCUCAUCAUGGAUAACUGUGAGGAGCUAAUCCUUGAAUAUCUGAACUUCAUCAGAGGGGUGGUAGACUCGGAGGAUCUCCCUCUAAAUAUUUCCCAUGAGAUGUUGCAAUGAAGCAAAAUUUUGAAAGUUAUCAGGAAUAAUUUGGUCAAAAAAUGCUUAGAACUCUUUACUGAACUGGCAGAAGGUAAAGAGAGGUACAAGAAGUUCUAUGAGCAGUUCUCUAAAAAACAUAAAGCUUGGAAUACACGGAGACUCUCAAAAUCAGAAGAAGCUUUCAGAGCUGCUAAGAUACUACACAUCUGCCUCUGUGAUGAGAUGGUUUCUCUCCAGAACUACUGCACCAGAAUGAAGGAAAACCAAACACAUAUCUAUUCUAUCACAGGUGAGACCAAGGACCAGGUAGGUAACUAAGCCUUUGUGGAAUGUCUUUGGAAACAUGGCUUGGAAGUGAUCUAUACGAUCGAGCCCAUUGAUGAGUACUGUGUCCAGCAGCUGAAGGAAUUUGAGGGGAAGACUUUAGUGUCAGUCAGCAAAGAGGGCUUGGAACUUCCAGAGGAUGAAGAAGAGAAAAAGAAACAGGAAGAGGAAAAACAAACAAACAAAUUUUGAGAACCUCUGAAAAAUCGUGAAAGACAUAUUGGAGAAAAGAGUUGAAAAGGUGAUUGUGUCAAACCAAUUGGUGACGUCUCCAUGUUGUAUUGUCACAAGCACAUAUGGCUGGACAGCAAACAGGGAGAGAAUCAUGAAAGCUCAAGCCCUGAGAGACAGUUCAACAACGGGUUUACAUGGCAGCAAAGAAGCACCUGGAGAUAAACCCUGACCAUUCCUUUAUUGACACCUUAGGGAAAAAGGCAGAGGCUGAUAGGAAUGACAAGUCUGUGAAGGAUCUUGUCAUCUUGCUUUAUGAAACUGCUCUCCUGUCUUCCGACUUCAGGCUGGAAGAUCCCCAGACACACGCUAACAGGAUCUACAGGAUGAACAAACUUGGUCUGGGUAUUGAUGAAGAUGACCCUACUGCUGAUGAUACCAGUGCAGCUGUAACUGAAGAAAUGCUGCCCCUCGAAGGAGAUGACGACACAUCACACAUGGAAAAGUAG